AUGAUUUAUUCACUUUUAUACUAUUUAACUUCAAAAUUUCCCAAGUGUGCUAUAUGUAAUGGCAGAGGUAAUUUACAACUGUAAUGAUGUUUUGAGUUUAUUACAUGAAGAUUUGAAUUUGCAUGCUAAAUUGGUUAGCCAGGUGCUAGGUUUACCCUCCAGGAAUAGAAAGGACAUGUGCUGAACAAAAUGGCUGUUUGGGUGACAUGGAAGGUACAAAAAAGGUUCUUGCCCCAUUUGCAGUCUAGUAAUGUGAAGAUCUGGCUCCUGUAUGUAUCCACAUGGACACUUGUAAAAAGGUGCUCUAUAUUUCAAUUUUGGGCACUUUCCCCAUGUUCUCUUUGUCAUGCAUGUGACAUGCUCUAUAGGGCUGGUUGUGUAUUGUUACUAAAACUGAAAACCCUGUUCUGCUGUGAAAGAAGUAGAAAUAUAGUUGAAUUUCAGUGGUUUUA